rnacentral:rRNA from 1 species
UACGUAGGGCGCAAGCGUUAUCCGGAAUUAUUGGGCGUAAAGAGCGUGUAGGCGGCCAGACAGGUCCGUUGUGAAAACUAGAGGCUUAACCUCUAGACGUCGAUGGAAACCGUCUGGCUAGAGUCCGGAAGAGGAGAAUGGAAUUCCUGGUGUAGCGGUGAAAUGCGCAGAUAUCAGGAAGAACACCCGUGGCUAAGGCGGUUCUCUAGUACGGUACUGACGCUGAGACGCGAAAGCGUGGGGAGCGAACAGG